GGUCGACAGCAAGCGCGAGGCGCAGCUGACCUCGGUGUUCAGCCGGCCUUCACGAGUGUUCUGUUCUCCUCAACAGACUUCCCCGCCGCCUCACGCUCAACUGUAGCGCUUUAGUCCUCGCACAGCCACCUUGAUGUGCACGUGCGUCGACACGGAUGAGUGGCUUUCCUUUGUUCUCAUUAGAAGACGCCUGCGACAUCGAGGAGAAGCAGCACGGCGGGGCUGUGACGCUCUCCACUGCAGGCGGUGAGAUGAGCGCACGGCGUAGUCGACUCCGCCGCGUUCGGUGGCUGCCGCACCAGCGCAUCGUGGUGCUCAAAGAGGUCGAUUUGUGGGCCGAGGACUGCGUAACGGAGGGUGUGGAUGUGGUUGCGGAGCGACUUUGGCGGAUGCGCAUGGAUGCGAGCCGCAACGGGAGAGCGCAGUACUUGGCCGAGUACCUGGCCCUCCAUGUCGACUCCUCGCGCCACUAUCAGUGGCUCCUAAGCAACUACGGCCCUUCGCUCCGGGACGUGUUGCUCACUUCCUCCCUGACUCCCUUCACAGAGGAGCGCUGCAAAGGCGUGCUGCGCCGUGUCCUCCUGGCGCUCGAUCAGCUGCACCGCGUGUCCAUGUACGUGCACGCCGACGUUAGCCUCGGCAAUGUCUUGACUUCACCGUCGAGCUGUGACGACGUUGUGCUGGGGGACUUGGAGAGCGUGAGCCCGAUCGGUGCUGUGCCUCGUGGGUGUCUUGGGUCAUACCUCUUCAUGGCGCCGGAGAGACUGGUGGACGGCGCACUGCCCCUCGCCCCUCACGACGACAUUUGGGCGUUCGGCAUCGUUUGCUACAACCUGCUAACGUGGGACGUGACGCAUCCAUGGUGUGCUCUAGGGACAGAGUCCGAUCACUCGGAGAACUACUGGGCCUUCUUGGACCUCAUGUCGAAGGCGAAGGACGUGCCGCCGUGCCAGCUCCUGUUGCAGUCGCCACUGUCACGGUGCUCCAAAGAGGCGCUGACGUUUGUUGCGGUAUGUUUGAGUUGGGACCCGGCAUGUCGCCCUUCUGCUGCGGAGCUGCUACAGCACAGUUGGAUGCUUUCUCCAUGAUCGUGGCGCACGUGUGGAUCUGCUAGUGUGAGUGACUUCACACGAAUGACACGGAGAGCGGCGAAAACGAAAGAGGUGUAAGGGCAUUCGAUUUGGGGCCCACACUCUCCCACGAUUCUCUUUGGCGCCGGUAGGCGACUGAGCGGCGCUGCACCUCCCACGUUCACGACAGUGAAAAACUUGUGCGCCGCUCCUCACCAUGCCUUGUCUCGUGGCAUGCGGUCUCUCUGCGUAUGCCUCUUGUGACGCCGCCGCCACCGUGCACUUGGGCAGUGAUGUGCGCACCGCUGAAUGCGCUGUAUUCUGUCUCUUCUGUUCAACUGCUCCCUCUACCGUUUUCCUUUCGCAUCUCUGUGAUAUUUUGUCGGCGUUGGUCGUGGCCACACUUACCCCUGGCGCCUUCAACGAGUCGCGGCUUCAG
rnacentral:misc_RNA from 1 species